AACAUUUUCCCGUUACCGGCUGCAUACCAGCGUCCACGCAAGCUGACUGGAGUCCCUGAGAUGAGAUUCUGCAUGUUGACGGGUCCAGGCUGUUCUGGCAAAGAGAGUGAGCAGUGGGCAACCUUGUUCUCUUUUUCGUCCUGUUUCUCCUUUUACUUUUUUUAUUUUUGUAUUUGUUUCGGGUUGAUUUUUGAAUUCUCUGAAACUUGAUUUGCUGAUAUCGACGUGUGGCUCCUCUCGUGCAUUCUUGCUCUUUUUCCUUUUUCCUUUUUCCUUUUUCCUAUUCUUCUCUCCCUCUUUGCUUUUUAUUUGGGUGGAAAUAAUUUUUCUCUCGGGGAAAUUUUUGGCGAGGAUCGCAUUUCGUGCAUUUGGGUGAGAGCGGGACACAGUUGAGCGUGGUGCUAAAAAAGGUCGUGGUGCAAACGUUCAACCACCAAUCAAUUGCACUUCUUAGCACUGUGUGCCUGGGCGAGGGGAUUAGGAAAAAAUAAAAUUAUUAGUCAUUUCCACAGUCGUUCAAUCGUUGGUUAGCGGGAUUACAUUUUAGAUGGGUCGAUCGAUUGGGCCCCAAGAUUUCUUGAACAGAGAACCA
rnacentral:sRNA from 1 species